rnacentral:rRNA from 1 species
UACGAAGGGGGCGAGCGUUGUUCGGAAUUACUGGGCGUAAAGGGCGCGUAGGCGGCCCCUUUUGUCGCGUGUGAAAGCCCCGGGCUCAACCUGGGAACGGCGCGCGAAACGGGGGGGCUUGAGUUCGGGAGAGGAGAGUGGAAUUCCCAGUGUAGAGGUGAAAUGCGUAGAUAUUGGGAAGAACACCGGAGGCGAAGGCGGAUUGCUGGGCCGACACUGACGCUGAGGCGCGAAAGCCAGGGGAGCAAACGGG